AACGAACGCUGGCGGCAGGCUUAACACAUGCAAGUCGAGCGAAGACUUCGGUCUUAGCGGCGGACGGGUGAGUAACGCGUGGGAACGUGCCUUUCACUACGGAAUAGUCCCGGGAAACUGGGUUUAAUACCGUAUACGCCCUUCGGGGGAAAGAAUUUCGGUGAGAGAUCGGCCCGCGUCUGAUUAGGUAGUUGGUGGGGUAAUGGCCUACCAAGCCGACGAUCAGUAGCUGGUUUGAGAGGAUGAUCAGCCACACUGGGACUGAGACACGGCCCAGACUCCUACGGGAGGCAGCAGUGAGGAAUCUUGGACAAUGGGGGGCAACCCUGAUCCAGCCAUGCCGCGUGAACGAUGAAGGCCUUAGGGUUGUAAAGUUCUUUCAACGGUGAAGAUAAUGACGGUAGCCGUAGAAGAAACCCCGGCUAACUCCGUGCCAGCGCCGCGGUAA
rnacentral:rRNA from 1 species